rnacentral:rRNA from 1 species
UACAGAGGGUGCGAGCGUUGUUCGGAAUUAUUGGGCGUAAAGGGCGCGUAGGCGGUGCGGUAAGUCACUUGUGAAAUCUCCUGGCUCAACUGGGAGCUUGCAGGCGAAACUGCCGUGCUGGAGUGUGGGAGAGGUGAGUGGAAUUCCCGGUGUAGCGGUGAAAUGCGUAGAUAUCAGGAGGAACACCAGCGGUGUAGACGGCUUUCUGGACCAUUGCUGACUCUGAGACACGAAAGCGUGGGGAGCAAACAGG